AUGUUCUCUGUGGCCCUGCUGCUCCUGCUGGCUGCUGGAUCCUGUGUGAAGUGUGAGCAGCUGACACAGCCAGCCUCUGUAAAUGUGCAGCCAGGUCAGCAUCUGACCAUCACCUGUCAGGUGUCUUAUUCUUUUAGCAGCUAUUGGACAGCUUGGAUCAGACAGCCUGCAGGGAAAGGACUGGAGUGGAUUGGGAUGAAAAGUACUGGGAGCUCUUACUACAAAGAUUCACUAAAGAGCAAGUUCAGCAUUGACUUAGACACUUCAAGCAACACAGUGACUGUAAAUGGACAGAAUAUAGAGCCUGAAGACACUGCUGUAUUACUGUGCCAGAGAGUCACAGUAACACAUAACAUCAGCAGACCUGAACAAAAGCCCCUCACUGCAUGCACACAUUUGAAACAUGAAGCUACCGGAGGAGGAGCUCCAAGACCAAUAAUGAAUUGA